GAGUUUGAUUAUGGCUCAGGAUGAACGCUAGCGGGAGGCCUAACACAUGCAAGCCGAGCGGGAUUUGUUGGUUAGCUUGCUAACUAAUAAUGAGAGCGGCGUACGGGUGCGUAACACGUGUGCAACCUGCCUUUAUCUGGGGGAUAGCCUUUCGAAAGGAAGAUUAAUACCCCAUAAUAUAUUAAUUGGCAUCAAUUGAUAUUGAAAGCUCCGGCGGAUAGAGAUGGGCACGCGUAAGAUUAGCUAGUUGGUGAGGUAACGGCUCACCAAGGCUGCGAUCUUUAGGGGGCCUGAGAGGGUGAUCCCCCACACUGGUACUGAGACACGGACCAGACUCCUACGGGAGGCAGCAGUGAGGAAUAUUGGACAAUGGGUGAGAGCCUGAUCCAGCCAUCCCGCGUGAAGGACUAAGGACCUAUGGUUUGUAAACUUCUUUUAUACAGGGAUAAACCUACUCUCGUGAAGGGUAGCUGAAGGUACUGUAUGAAUAAG
rnacentral:rRNA from 1 species